rnacentral:lncRNA from 1 species
AGUGGGAGCCAGGCUGGAGUCCGCUGGUGGAAGACAGGACACAGGCUGGAAAGGCAGGUGCUGGGGGCAGGAGCUCGGGCUGCGGGGAAUCGGCACAAAAAUAAGACAGCAGGCUGGGGAGAAGGCCCCUCCCCAUACGAAAUCAUCCCUAAGAUUCCAAAGGCCUGGAAAACACCUCGCUAGGAGAAGCUUCAUGGAUCAGGCCAGGUCCAGCACCCAGACAGGCAGGGGCCGAGCAGGGCAGGGCUGGGCAGGCUGGGCCAGCACCAGCCUAGGAAGCCCCCUCUCCAAAGCCCUGUCCUGUGCCCCUCUGGCCCUGGGCUAGCAAGUCUGAGCAUCUGGGGUCAAGGCGGAUCGCUGGGGACCAGGCACCUGGAAUGAGACAGAGGGGCAGUGCUGUGUGGGCCUCCCCAGGGACAGAACAUGGAGUGGGAGCUGCGCAUGGAGCCCCCGCUUGGGCAGCUCUGCAGGCCUCCAGGCCACCAAGGCAGCCAGCACAGUGGUCCUGGCAGGAGGGUGAGAGGGCGGCACAUUCCAGCCACAGCCCACCUCUCCUCCCAGGAUGCCUGGGGAAGUGCAGGAAGAGCCCUGUGGGGGCGGGGAUGGGAGCUCGGGCCAUCUUUGGAAAGAGGCUGUUAAGAGAAGGGAACAAGAUGGGGCUGCAGGCCAUUCCCUCCCCAUGACAAUGAGAGAGCUGCAGCCACAGUCCAUGCGGCCCCCUGUGCCUUCAGCAUCCAGCCUGCUGCGACUUUGAGGAUGAUGGCAGCUGAGGGUUCAUCGGGGCCAGGCUGUGUCCCAGGAGGCAUGGACUUGCUGGAGCUCAGCUGGUCAACUUCCAGGAGGCUCUGACCACCACCAAGUUCCAGCCAUGAGGGUCUCCUCCUCAGCCAGGGGCACCCAACCCCUUGGGAAAGGAAGGGCUAGGCAGCUCCCACACCCUCCUCACCCCAGGACGAGCCUGUAGAGAAGAGCAGCUGUGUUUUCAGCUAGAGCCAUGGGCAUGAGGGGUCCAGGGAAAGGGCUGUCCGGACAAGCCACCUGCAGUGCCCACGGCCCAGCCUGAGGCAGCUCACUCCCACCCCAGCCCCCGCCCAGGCCUGAGCCCACCGG